rnacentral:misc_RNA from 1 species
GAACGUCUUGCUCGAGACCCGCGACCUCACCAUGCGUUUCGGUGGAAACAUUGCGGUCAACGCGGUGAACAUCAAAAUCCGCCAGGGCGAGAUCGUCGGGCUGGUCGGCGCCAACGGCUCCGGAAAGACCACGCUCUUCAACUGCAUAUCGAAAGUCUAUGAGCCCACGGGAACGAUAAUCUUCGACGGCAGCCCCAUCGACGGCUUACGGCGCGACGAGGUGUCGCGCGCCGGCGUCGGGCGAACCUUCCAGAAUCCACGCCCGUUCGGCGACCUCACCGUACUCGAGAACAUCGCAAUCGCGCUGACCUAUCGCGCGGACAACAAAGCGCUCAGCACCGCCUUC